CUACUAUCAAGUAAGUCAACCAGUUCCUUUCCUCAUGGGGCCUUGUGUGUAAAGGCCAUGAUGAGUGCAUUCAUCCUGUUGCCUACAGGAGUUGCCCCAAGGGAUGUUGGAGACAGUU
ensembl:snoRNA SNORA70 Small nucleolar RNA SNORA70